rnacentral:tRNA from 1 species
GGGCCUGUAGCUCAAUGGUAGAGCAGCGGACUUUUAAUCCGUGGGUUCCGGGUUCGAGUCCCGGCGGGCCUA